rnacentral:lncRNA from 1 species
GACUUCUGAGAAAAAGACCAGAUCAUUUGUGGCUCUCCUUCCCUAGUGUUUAUGAGGAAGAAUACUUCUGAAAGCAAAUGAGUACUAAGUACAGAAUCUUAUCAGCUUAUUGGUGUGCAGAAGGAAUAUUUCGGCUAUUAAGCAAAUGGCAUUUUAAAAAUGCAGUAUUCAAGUUACAUUGAUAAGCAUUCCUCACACCUUAAGGAGUGGGUGCAUGUAGAGUGCUUCAAAUGGUUACUGAUAUAAGGUCAUAAAUGAGGCAAAGAUAUGAACACUUCUCUUGAAUUGUUUGCAUUUUGCACAUGUGAGAUAUUGUUAUCAUUAUUCAUACUGGGGCUGUAUUUUUCAGAUUAGGGAAGGGCUAAAAGAGUUUCAGAGACAGAGUUAUUAGAGGGGGUAGGAACCAGCAGUGUUUUUCAGGUUCUUGUCCCGAUUAAUGAAUUGGUCAGGACUGUUGGUGGAUGUGAAAGAUUACCAUUUAUUGUAGGGCAGAAAUGAGAAAAGGAAAAGGGAAAGAAAUAUUCAGGGAGAAAAGGAAAAAAGAAAAAAAAAUCUGUCCUGUGAGCAGAAUGGACCAGUGCAAGAAUAAGAGAGCCGUGGCACCAGUCACUUGCUGCCAUCCUUUUGUCUUCUUAGCUGAUCCAAGUGGUCCCAUUUCAUCUGUGUCUGAAGACUGGUAUCAGGUGCCAGGCUCAGUGUGUUCUCAUAUCAUUGGCACCAGAUGCAGGGCUCAGCUUGAUCCUGGGUCAGGCUCAGGUGCUGUUGCUCUGCACUCAUGGAAGCAAGUUUCUGUGAUGCCUUCCUGGGCAAGCCAUGUACAGACCAAAAAGCAGCCUUCAGAAGCAUCUUGCAGGUCUUAUGUAGCAUUCGUGGUUGAUGGCCUUGCCUUAUCCUGAGUUUCUUAUCCAGAGCCUUGGGAACCAAGGACAUCCUGGAGCCCAGCAGAGGGGAAGACGGACCUGGGGAUGAGUGGAAAGAUGGGGUAGAUGACAUUGAUGCCUUUCAACACAUUAAUAUAAAGC